GACGAACGCUGGCGGCGCGCCUAACACAUGCAAGUCGAACGAGCAAAAAGGAGCUUGCUUCUCUGAGCGAGUGGCGAACGGGUGAGUAACGCGUGAGGAACCUGCCUCAAAGAGGGGGACAACAGUUGGAAACGACUGCUAAUACCGCAUAAGCCCACGGGUCGGCAUCGACCAGAGGGAAAAGGAGCAAUCCGCUUUGAGAUGGCCUCGCGUCCGAUUAGCUAGUUGGUGAGGUAAUGGCCCACCAAGGCGACGAUCGGUAGCCGGACUGAGAGGUUGAACGGCCACAUUGGGACUGAGACACGGCCCAGACUCCUACGGGAGGCAGCAGUGGGGAAUAUUGCACAAUGGGGGAAACCCUGAUGCAGCGACGCCGCGUGGAGGAAGAAGGUCUUCGGAUUGUAAACUCCUGUUGUUGAGGAAGAUAAUGACGGUACUCAACAAGGAAGUGACGGCUAACUACGUGCCAGCAGCCGCGGUAAAACGUAGGUCACAAGCGUUGUCCGGAAUUACUGGGUGUAAAGGGAGCGCAGGCGGGAAGACAAGUUGGAAGUGAAAUCCAUGGGCUCAACCCAUGAACUGCUUUCAAAACUGUUUUUCUUGAGUAGUGCAGAGGUAGGCGGAAUUCCCGGUGUAGCGGUGGAAUGCGUAGAUAUCGGGAGGAACACCAGUGGCGAAGGCGGCCUACUGGGCACCAACUGACGCUGAGGCUCGAAAGUGUGGGUAGCAAACAGGAUUAGAUACCCUGGUAGUCCACACCGUAAACGAUGAUUACUAGGUGUUGGAGGAUUGACCCCUUCAGUGCCGCAGUUAACACAAUAAGUAAUCCACCUGGGGAGUACGACCGCAAGGUUGAAACUCAAAGGAAUUGACGGGGGCCCGCACAAGCAGUGGAGUAUGUGGUUUAAUUCGACGCAACGCGAAGAACCUUACCAAGUCUUGACAUCCUGCGACGGACAUAGAAAUAUGUCUUUCCUUCGGGACGCAGAGACAGGUGGUGCAUGGUUGUCGUCAGCUCGUGUCGUGAGAUGUUGGGUUAAGUCCCGCAACGAGCGCAACCCUUAUGGUCAGUUACUACGCAAGAGGACUCUGGCCAGACUGCCGUUGACAAAACGGAGGAAGGUGGGGAUGACGUCAAAUCAUCAUGCCCUUUAUGACUUGGGCUACACACGUACUACAAUGGCGUUAAACAAAGAGAAGCAAGACCGCGAGGUGGAGCAAAACUCAGAAACAACGUCCCAGUUCGGACUGCAGGCUGCAACUCGCCUGCACGAAGUCGGAAUUGCUAGUAAUCGUGGAUCAGCAUGCCACGGUGAAUACGUUCCCGGGCCU
rnacentral:rRNA from 1 species